GGAUGUACAGGCAAUCUGGCUGCGACAUCUGUCACCCCAUUGAUUGCCAGGGUUGAUUCGGCUGAUAUGGCUGACUAGGCGGGUGUCCCCUUUCUCCCUCACCACUCCAUGUGCGUCCCUCCUGAAGCUGCAUGCUAGAGAGGACCAUCCCUGAUAGAGGAGGACCAUUCUUCAGUCAAGGGUGUACGAGUUGCUGCACUCCCCUGCUAGAACCUCCAAACAAGCUCUCAGGCCUACCAUAUCCAGUGUUUGGAAUGCCAAGUAGUGCUUUAGUGAAUACGCUGUCCAUGGGUAGUUGUG
rnacentral:snRNA from 1 species